rnacentral:rRNA from 1 species
AUUGAACGCUGGCGGAAUGCUUUACACAUGCAAGUCGAACGGUAGAGGGGGGCAACCCCUUGAGAGUGGCGAACGGGUGAGUAAUAUAUCGGAACGUGCCCAGUCGUGGGGAUAACGUAGCGAAAGUUACGCUAAUACCGCAUACGAUCUAAGGAUGAAAGCGGGGGAUCGCAAGACCUCGCGCGAUUGGAGCGGCCGAUAUCAGAUUAGGUAGUUGGUGAGGUAAAGGCUCACCAAGCCAACGAUCUGUAGCUGGUCUGAGAGGACGACCAGCCACACUGGAACUGAGACACGGUCCAGACUCCUACGGGAGGCAGCAGUGGGGAAUUUUGGACAAUGGACGCAAGUCUGAUCCAGCCAUUCCGCGUGCAGGAUGAAGGCCCUCGGGUUGUAAACUGCUUUUGUACGGAACGAAACGGUGAGCUCUAAUACAGUUUACUAAUGACGGUACCGUAAGAAUAAGCACCGGCUAACCUACGUAGCCAGCAGCCGCGGU